UAUAACAAAAAAAAUACAUGUUCGUCAAUAUUCAGCAACUAAACACAAAUUAAUAUGCCUGCUUAAGCAGGAUUACAGGUUCCAAAUCGGAAGUAACAUAGGUGAAGUAUAUAACAGCCGGUGAAUUUGGAGGAGCGCCAGAGUAGCUAGUCCCUUAUCGAUGGAACCGGUGGUGGACUUCGCCGGAGCGUCUGAGCAGCGAAUGCCUUUCUGCUUAUAUAUGGUUCUUGUGGCGCACUUCUCCAGAAAUUUGGUGGUCAACUUCGUCUGAUUCCUAUAACGUUCUGGCGGCGACUUUGACGCAGGAUAUCAAACCGACGAUGUCUCCGGCUGAAGUUGACGACAAAACAAUGGAGACUUUCGGGUUUACUUUGAAGUAAGCC
rnacentral:lncRNA from 1 species